UAUGGCUACGAUAGCUAAGAGGAUACACCCGUUCCCAUCUCGAACACGGAAGUUAAGCUCUUAAACGUCGAAGGUACUAAUACAUUUCGUAUUGGAAGAUUAGAAAGUAGCCAAAC
rnacentral:rRNA from 1 species